rnacentral:rRNA from 1 species
CCUACGGGGGGCAGCAGUGGGGAAUAUUGGGCAAUGGGCGCAAGCCUGACCCAGCAACGCCGCGUGAAGGAAGAAGGCUUUCGGGUUGUAAACUUCUUUUCUCAGGGACGAAGCAAGUGACGGUACCUGAGGAAUAAGCCACGGCUAACUACGUGCCAGCAGCAGCGGUAAUACGUAGGUGGCAAGCGUUAUCCGGAUUUACUGGGUGUAAAGGGCGUGUAGGCGGGAAAGCAAGUCAGAUGUGAAAACCAUGGGCUCAACCUGUGGCCUGCAUUUGAAACUGUUUUUCUUGAGUACUGGGGAGGCAGACGGAAUUCCUAGUGUAGCGGUGAAAUGCGUAGAUAUUAGGAGGAACACCAGUGGCGAAGGCGGUCUGCUGGACAGCAACUGACGCUGAGGCGCGAAAGCGUGGGGAGCAAACAGGAUUAGAUACCCCUGUAGUC